AGCAGAGUAGCGUAGUGGAAGCGUGCUGGGCCCAUAACCCAGAGGACCGUGGAUUAAAACCCCGCUCUGCUA
rnacentral:tRNA from 1 species